UUACGGCCAUAUCACGUUGAAACGCUAGUUCCCGUACGAUCACCGAGGUUAAGCAACGUCGAGCCUAGUCAGUAUUAUAUUGGUGACCGCUUGGGAAUUUCAGGUGCUGUAA